rnacentral:lncRNA from 1 species
CUAGAACUCAAGUAGCUAGUAACUGGCUUGCAGGCCUUGGGAGGCAGAGACUCACCUGAUUUUUUGGUUCUCAGGGCACUGUGUUGGAAAGAAAGAGAACAUUGCCCAGAAAUGCCUUCUUCUCUCUGGCUUUCAAGUCAAUUUUUUGCCUCAAGCUGACAUUUUGACCACUUCGUGCAUCUCCCUCUCCUAAUCUUCACACAUAUUCUUCUUUGAUAAUACGUAUUUUUUCCUAUACUACAGUCUGAAAAUAGCAGAGAUGCCUGGAUGCUGUGUUAUUCCUGAAAAUAGCACAGCAUAGAUUCUAGUCUGAAAAUAGCAUAGAUGUCUGGAUACUGUGUUAUUUCAUUAAUCUAAUAAUAAUUCCAAUAAUAUUCUGCUUUCACUCUAUAUGAAAGCUUCUUUUAAAGUUCGCAUAAAUGCGCGUGUUUGUGUGUGAAAGAAAACCACCUCACUUUUAGGACUGGAGGUUCAGAAGAAUUUCUCGACACAGGCAAGUUGAGAACUGAAUUUGAUGUUUUGGAAGGAAAAUGGGGAUUCCCAGGUCCUUUUGAAGUUGGCAGACAGCAGACAUCAGUAUCAUCCAUCAGAUUAUUCAUCAGUAUUAUUAUUUUCUUCUCUUCUGUUUUGGAGUAUAUGAAGGAUGAUACUCCUCUGGUAUGCCCUUGAAUUAAGAAGGGCCACGUGACUCGCUCUGGCCUGUAAGCUGUGAGCAGAAGUUCCUCGUGUGAUUUUACAUGGUAAGAGAUUCUCCGUGUUCUCUUCCUCUGCGGCAAUAAUAGGGAAAACAGCGUAUGGGUUGACAGGGAGGUGUUACAACAUUGACGCUCUCUGGAAUGCUGAACUCCUGAUGGAAGACAGUUGUCCUGUACGGUAAACUUUAAAAAUGCAAGAAAUUGACAUUUGCUGUGUCAAACCACCGAAAUGUCGUGCUUGUGAUGCCACAUAACAAAGCCUAUCCUGGCUAAUACAAAGUGCCACAUGGGCAAAGAAAUUUUGUAUUUGCUAAGAUUGCUCAAGUUAGGUCUAUGACCCCCGUUGAAUAGGCUGGCUAAAAAUACAUAAAACAGGGCCUUGCCCAGUGGCACAGCAGUUAAGUUCUCACGUUCCGCUUUGGUGGCCUGGGGUUCACUGGUUUGGAUCUUGGGUGCGGACCUACACACAGCUUAGCAAGCCUUGCUUUGGCAGGCGUCCCAUAUAUAAAGUAGAGGAAGAUGGGCACAGAUAUUAGCUCAGGGCCAUUCUUCCUCAGCAAAAAGAGGAGGAUUGGCAUGUUAGUUAGUGGAUGUUAGUUCAGGGCUAAUCUUCCUCAAAAGAAAAAAAAAUAGAUAAAACAUCCUGGUACGUGGCAAGUACUCAUUAAAUGUUAAACUUUAGACAUAUCAUUUGUAAUGCUUGAGACCAACAACAAACAGGAGAACAUAACAGGGGAAGAGAAAU